rnacentral:tRNA from 1 species
GUUAAUAUAGUUUAAUAAAAAUAUCAGACUGUGAAUCUGAAGAUAGGAUAUUAAUCUCCUUAUUCACC